rnacentral:rRNA from 1 species
CGGUGGUGGAUUAGUGGCGAACGGGUGAGUAACACGUGGGCAAUCUGCCCUGCACUCUGGGACAAGCCCUGGAAACGGGGUCUAAUACCGGAUAUGACCACCGGCCGCAUGGUCUGGUGGUGGAAAGCUCCGGCGGUGCAGGAUGAGCCCGCGGCCUAUCAGCUUGUUGGUGGGGUGAUGGCCUACCAAGGCGACGACGGGUAGCCGGCCUGAGAGGGCGACCGGCCACACUGGGACUGAGACACGGCCCAGACUCCUACGGGAGGCAGCAGUGGGGAAUAUUGCACAAUGGGCGCAAGCCUGAUGCAGCGACGCCGCGUGAGGGAUGACGGCCUUCGGGUUGUAAACCUCUUUCAGCAGGGAAGAAGCGCAAGUGACGGUACCUGCAGAAGAAGCACCGGCUAACUACGUGCCAGCAGCCGCGGUAAUACGUAGGGUGCGAGCGUUGUCCGGAAUUAUUGGGCGUAAAGAGCUCGUAGGCGGCCUGUCGCGUCGGAUGUGAAAGCCCGGGGCUUAACCCCGGGUCUGCAUUCGAUACGGGCAGGCUAGAGUUCGGUAGGGGAGAUCGGAAUUCCUGGUGUAGCGGUGAAAUGCGCAGAUAUCAGGAGGAACACCGGUGGCGAAGGCGGAUCUCUGGGCCGAUACUGACGCUGAGGAGCGAAAGCGUGGGGAGCGAACAGGAUUAGAUACCCUGGUAGUCCACGCCGUAAACGUUGGGAACUAGGUGUGGGCGACAUUCCACGUCGUCCGUGCCGCAGCUAACGCAUUAAGUUCCCCGCCUGGGGAGUACGGCCGCAAGGCUAAAACUCAAAGGAAUUGACGGGGGGCCCGCACAAGCGGCGGAACAUGUGGCUUAAUUCGACGCAACGCGAAGAAACCUUACCAAGGCUUGACAUACACCGGGAAAGCGCUG